CGAUCACGUUAAACAAGUUCUGCAAACCUUGUUAAAAAAACAACUUUAUUGUAAAUUGGAAAAAUAUAUCUCUGACCAGUCUGAAGUACAGUUUUUAGGAUAUAAUAUUUCUACCUCUGGGUUUCAGAUGGAUCCUAAAAAACUAGAGUCUGUUCUACAGUGGCCUUUACCCACUGGGUUGAUAGCCAUUCAAAGGUUCAUUGGUUUCUCCAAUUAUUACAGAAGAU